GCAAGUCGAGCGCGAAAACACUUCGGUGUGAGUAGAGCGGCGGACGGGUGAGUAACGCGUAGGAAUCUACCUGGUAGUGGGGGACAACUUGGGGAAACCCAAGCUAAUACCGCAUACGCCCUAAGGGGGAAAGCGGGGGAUCUUCGGACCUCGCGCUAUUGGAUGAGCCUGCGUCGGAUUAGCUAGUUGGUGGGGUAAGAGCCCACCAAGGCGACGAUCCGUAGCUGGUCUGAGAGGAUGAUC
rnacentral:rRNA from 1 species